rnacentral:rRNA from 1 species
AGAGUUUGAUCAUGGCUCAGGACGAACGCUGGCGGCGUGCCUAACACAUGCAAGUCGAACGGGAAUACGACUGUAGCAAUAUGGUCGUAUUUUAGUGGCGGACGGGUGAGUAACGCGUGAGCAACCUGCCCUUCGGAGGGGGACAACAGCUGGAAACGGCUGCUAAUACCGCAUGACGUAUUCGGGAGGCAUCUUCUGAAUACCAAAGAUUUAUCGCCGAGGGAUGGGCUCGCGUCUGAUUAGCUGGUUGGUAGGGUAACGGCCUACCAAGGCUUCGAUCAGUAGCCGGACUGAGAGGUUGAACGGCCACAUUGGGACUGAGAUACGGCCCAGACUCCUACGGGAGGCAGCAGUGGGGAAUAUUGGGCAAUGGGGGAAACCCUGACCCAGCAACGCCGCGUGAAGGAAGAAGGCUUUCGGGUUGUAAACUUCUUUGACCAGGGACGAAACAAAUGACGGUACCUGGAAAACAAGCCACGGCUAACUACGUGCCAGCAGCCGCGGUAAUACGUAGGUGGCGAGCGUUGUCCGGAUUUACUGGGUGUAAAGGGCGCGUAGGCGGGGCUGCAAGUCAGAUGUGAAAUCUGGGGGCUUAACCCUCAAACUGCAUUUGAAACUGUGGCUCUUGAGUGAUGGAGAGGCAGGCGGAAUUCCUAGUGUAGCGGCGAAAUGCGUAGAUAUUAGGAGGAACACCAGUGGCGAAGGCGGCCUGCUGGACAUUAACUGACGCUGAGGCGCGAAAGCGUGGGGAGCAAACAGGAUUAGAUACCCUAGUAGUCC